CACGUAGGGGACGAGCGUUGUCCGGAUUCAUUGGGCGUAAAGCGCGCGUAGGCGGCUCGGAAAGUCGGGAGUGAAAGCCCGGGGCUCAACCCCGGAAUGGCUUUCGAAACUGCUGAGCUAGAGUACAGAAGGGGCAACCGGAAUUCCCAGUGUAGCGGUGAAAUGCGUAGAUAUUGGGAAGAACACCUGAGGCGAAGGCGGGUUGCUGGGCUGAUACUGACGCUGAGGCGCGAAAGCCAGGGGAGCAAACGGG
rnacentral:rRNA from 1 species